UCCCUACAGUGAGCUCUCCCGCUGCACCCAGCUGCUGGCCCAGCUCCUCUCCUGCCCUUGGCCCAGCUCUGUCCUCGACACCUUCUUCCUGCAGGUUCAUGCUGAAUACUUCACCAACUGCACAGGGGCUGAGCCCCCCCCAACCGAGUGUGAUGCCCCCCUGGCUGGCUCUGGCUGUGGCCAUGGGGCUCAGCUGCCUCGUGCCCCUCGCAGCAGCCGUCGUGCUCAGCAGAGCCCCAAAAGGGGCUCACACGCCAGCCCCUGCCUGCCCCAUGCCUGCGAGGAGCCUGCAGCUGCUCUCUUCCUUCCCAGCCCUGGGAACUGAGGGGUGGGCAGGGGGUGCAGGGGACAGGGCAGAGCAGUGAUGGGGGACUGAGCAUCCCUGGGAAUGGAGUGGGUCCCCUGGCACUGGGGAGGGCGAGGCCUGGGGCUCUGGAUGCCUGCAUCUGCCCCAAAGCAGGGGAGAGUCAGGAGAAGGGAACUGGAGUCCUGACCCUGCAUGAGAUGAGCCCUUUCCCCAGCUGGCAUGGAGCGAUGGGGAUGCCAGGCUGCGGAUGAGGGAGCCCCAAACUUUGGCUGGCAGCCACUGUCCUGUCCCUGCCCAUCGUAUCCCUGCCCAUCCCCUCUGGACACCUCAGGAGCAGGGCAGCCGUCCCAGCCCUGGGGCUGUGCUGAGAUCAUUGGGUGUCUCCCUGGCAGAGGCUCCUGCCGCCCAGCCGGAGGCUUCACUGGCUCCAACCAAGAGCGGGACCAGGGGGCUCCAACCCUGCAGCCCCCGGGACGCCAGGGUCUGAUGGCUUCCAGAUGCAGCCGCUCGCCCAUGAAAGCAGGGAGGGUCCCUCCGAGCUGCGCUUCAUCACGCUCCGAUUCCACUCAGCGCAUCCCAUGGGCGGGUUGUUAAAGGGGAAGCUUUGGACGCACACUCUGCCCUGGGCCGGAGGUGAAAUGAGUUUUCUCGGCCUCAGCCUGGUCCUGGGGUGGGAAUGCUGCGGGGCCGCGCUGCUGCGGGGGGAUGCGGGCCCCAUGGGCAGGAGCGGUGCCAAGAGCGAAGGGCACGGGCAGGGCUGUGCGGGAGGAGGGUGGCAUGGCCGGGGACUGGCAACGGUGGGCCAAGCCUUUGCCCGGUCCCCUCCCCACGUCGCCACCUGCAUCGGCCUCGCACCGCGGGCAGGUCACACCAUCAGCCGACCCUCCUCGGCUGAGGCAGGGGCCCGGGGCUACCGCGGAGAUGCCGGCCAUGGGGCAGGUGCCCCGGGGGAGGCAGGAGCCGCGGUGUCGGUGCUGCGGGUCCCCAGUGCCCAGGCGGCAGCGCCUGUCCGGGGACACUGCGCUUCCCCGUCCACUCCCCCCGCUGCCGGGCUGCCUGCCCUCCACGCAGGAGACGAGGGAUUUCACAACCCAGCCCAGACAGGAUUAAAGAGAAAUACACAAGUAAACAAAUAG
rnacentral:lncRNA from 1 species